rnacentral:lncRNA from 1 species
UUAGUUGUACCAGUUUGUACAUAGUUAUACUUAGGCAGUGAAAUCGAAAGAUAUUAGUUGUACCAUAUAAAAAAUACAAUUACCUUAGUUGUACCACUGUUGUAUGUUUACAUAUGCUUGCCCGGAUACAAUGAAAUCAUCACUAUUGUGAAAAUACUUGUCAUGUAUGUUUUGCAAAAAAUAAGUGGACAAACAAGUUAACAAACCUUAAAAGUAUAAGGUAGAUCAAGCAAACUUUUGUGAUGGAGUUAGAAAUCUAAAAAAAAAAAAGCACAAUACAAAACACAAAGAAACCUUUCCAAACGCUUAAAAAUUAGACUAUUUGAUUUGUUUUUUAAUAGGGAACACCCAAAAGAAUAUUUAAAUUUUACAACUUGCACAGUUGUACUAGUUGUACUA